rnacentral:rRNA from 1 species
UGGGGAAUAUUGGACAAUGGGCGCAAGCCUGAUCCAGCCAUGCCGCGUGAGUGAUGAAGGCCCUAGGGUUGUAAAGCUCUUUCACCGGUGAAGAUAAUGACGGUAACCGGAGAAGAAGCCCCGGCUAACUUCGUGCCAGCAGCCGCGGUAAUACGAAGGGGGCUAGCGUUGUUCGGAUUUACUGGGCGUAAAGCGCACGUAGGGGGACUUUUAAGUCAGGGGUGAAAUCCCGGGGCUCAACCCCGGAACUGCCUUUGAUACUGGAAGUAUUGAGUAUGGUAGAGGUGAGUGGAAUUCCGAGUGUAGAGGUGAAAUUCGUAGAUAUUCGGGGGAACACCAGUGGCGAGGGCGGCUCACUGGACCAUUACUGACGCUGAGGGGCGAGAGCGUGGGGAGCAAACAGG